GACGAACGCUGGCGGCGUGCCUAAUACAUGCAAGUAGAACGCUGAAGGAGGAGCUUGCUUCUCUGGAUGAGUUGCGAACGGGUGAGUAACGCGUAGGUAACCUGCCUGGUAGCGGGGGAUAACUAUUGGAAACGAUAGCUAAUACCGCAUAAUAGUAGAUGUUGCAUGACAUUUGCUUAAAAGGUGCAAUUGCAUCACUACCAGAUGGACCUGCGUUGUAUUAGCUAGUUGGUGGGGUAACGGCUCACCAAGGCGACGAUACAUAGCCGACCUGAGAGGGUGAUCGGCCACACUGGGACUGAGACACGGCCCAGACUCCUACGGGAGGCAGCAGUAGGGAAUCUUCGGCAAUGGACGGAAGUCUGACCGAGCAGCGCCGCGUGAGUGAAGAAGGGUUUCGGAUCGUAAAGCUCUGUUGUAAGAGAAGAACGAGUGUGAGAGUGGAAAGUUCACACUGUGACGGUAUCUUACCAGAAAGGGACGGCUAACUACGUG
rnacentral:rRNA from 1 species